UUUCAGAAUUUUUGGUUUAUUUAAAUGUUACUUUAGGAUUAUUCAAUCAAGGAUGGAUUUCCAGGUUUCCAUACAGCUAGUAGAUUUUCUUAAAAUCAGAAUUAGUCUAGCCCACUAGAAAAUACCCUUUGUUCCUAUAUUGAUAGAAACCCAGUAUUCUUCCUUCCUGUUUUGCCUUCCCUGCCCUGGAUGCAAUGGGAGUAAACACAGUAGCAGGAUUUGUAUCACCAGCAGAGAGGAACAAUUGGAGCAGUGUUUAAAUUUGCAAGGUUUGAGGGUUGUAAUUUGAGUUUAUUUGAGGGAAGGGAGUGAAAUGUUUAUUCCACUCUAUUUUUAGAGGCUCUCUAUUGUGUUAUCCAUGCUUAUCACACAGGGACAAACGUUUUUCCAUAUAGCAAAUAUUUCUGAAUCUAUUCCAAAAAUAGCCUAGGAGCCAUGAGAUCCUAGGAAUAGGCUUCUCCCUCUAGUGGCGGCAGAAGGGAAGUUACAAUGCUGUCAGAUGAGGCAGUUAUGAAAAAUAAAAAGCAAGCUGUAUACAUGGUGAAAUAUCUGCGGUCUUUCCAACUUCAGAAAGAUUCGUAAGGCAAGAGAUAUGUUACCACUUUAUGGUGGUUCUUAGCCACUGAAGUACUCUCGAAAUACUUGUAAAGCUGAGACAUACCAAAAUAAGGAUAUGUUUCAUUUUUUUAAAAAAGAGCGAGGUUAAAGUAUAACUGAGGCACCUUAGUAAACAAAUGUUAAUGAGUUUGCUGUCCUACAUGUCUAACAGCAGCAAGCUUGUGUGGUGAAUGUUUAUUCUUCAUGGGCAGAGAUGGAAAAGAAGUUUGGUUGUAACCAUACUGCUGUGUCCAAUCUGUCUUGUGCUGGGGGAGCAGCAGAGCAGGCAUUGUACCUGGGAGUAACCCCUGGAGCUUGCUGAGCAUCUGUCCCUCCAGGUAAAGCCUGGCACUGGCUAGCAUGUUUCCAGAGCAGUUAUUGGAAAGAAAACAAGGUAAAACACUGCUGUGGCUGGGGUGCAGCUGAGCGUAGGCACCAGGUGAUGGGGGUUACCUUUGUGGGGCAGAAGCAGAGGUGUCCCUUGCUGGGCUGGGGCAGCAUGUGUGUGAGCUUGCGUGCUUUCUCAGUGAGCCUCCACGUGGGCUCUGGCAGCAGAGUGCUUCAUCGUGGAAGGUCCAAGGGGGAAAAACCAUGGCCAGUGUCUGUACUGCAGCUAACUAUGUGCAUGGUGUCCUCUGGGAUGUGGGAAACAGGACCUAUAAGGUCAUGUGCGUUGGUCCUUGAGUUUUGAGCUCUUUUGUCAGAGGAACUCUAGUGACUUCAAGGUAAAAUGUCAACUGUUUCUCGUUGUUAGGAUCGUGCAUGCCUUUCUAAUCAAGUUAAUGAUAUGGAGAUCCAAGGUUUGGGAAUAGAUUUUUGAAUUGUUUCAUUUCUUUGUGGUUCUUUGAAUUUCACUAUUCUGAAGGCAAGUGCUUGCUCUCCCACUGAGAGCUGACCUGUGGUCAAGUGAUUCCAGUGCUUAACAAAAACCACCAGGGAGUGCCUGACUCCCAGUGCCACCACAGACAGGCAGGGCAGUCUGGUUGCAACCUUGUGAGGCAGCUGACCCACAAUAUCUCUAGUGGCUGUUGCUUUGGAGCCUGUUCUGUGUUAGGGCUUUCUGAGGACAACUUCUGUCUUGGUGUAGGACGCCCUGGUUCCAGCAGCCCUGUUUGUGCCCACUGGAUGGUUACGGCUGCCUGAGCACACAGAGGUUGGGAGGCCUUGGCAGAAGGAUGUUUGUCUGAUACAUUUACCCAAGAGUAGAUGAGCUCAUUGCAGGCAUCUGCCCAGCAGCCAUCAUGCUGCCUGGAUGGUUCCUUAGGAUAUUAAUUACCAGCAGUGCAGGAAACAUGGUACCUUUUCUGCACUGUCUUCUCAUGUGAGAAGGCUUAAAUCUUAGGUACUUUCCAAAACAUAAAGCAGUAAGUCAGUCUCAACAUGGUCAUUCCUUUGCAUAGCGUCUUGCCCUUACUUAGCUCUGGCAGGUACCUGGUCUGCUCUUCCAGCCCCUUGCUUCUGCACUGUCCCCAAAAGCUGUUUUAAUUUUAUCUUACCUCCCUGUAAGGUUUCCUUUCAUUUGCUUCUGUUGCUUUUCUUAUCACUUUUUAUGCUCUCAACUUCAUUAUGCAAUUGUUCCAACUGUGCUCAGUAUUUGAUGUUUUAUAACUCGUGUCUGCCUCUUUUCCCCCCAUUGUUGAUUACUUUUACACUUCUGUUCCUUCACACUGGCUUUAAAAAUAAAAUACAAAAAACAACUUGAACGUUCCCCAUGCAAUUACUGUGAGGUGUUGUGCGUAACCCUUGGGCAUACAUUAAUUUCUUUGAACACCUAUUUCCUGUGUCCUUUCACUCCCUGGCUUGUAUUGAAUUUCCACCUGCACUUACUGAGUCUCCAAACUUUACUCUGCUAAAAAGUAAUCUACUUUUAACUUUUUAGUUGAAUAUUAAUCCUAGUGAAAUCCUUAAAGACUGUGGUCCCAAUUCUCCCCCACACCUGCAUCACCAGCUGUGUCAGAGAAGCCUUGCUUAAGAAUUACUCCUGACAAAAAGCCAUCACUUUUUUCAAGCUUCUUAUGAUGAAAAUGAUACUUUCAACCAGGCCAACUGUAAGACUGCACAGUAAGGAAAUAUUUUUUUCCCAGCAUCCAUAAAUUCAAUGGAAAAAUGGGUGUGGGAGCAGAUCAGGUGCAGCACUGGCUCCUCCUUGCCAGGCACGGAGGAGCGAAGCAGCAGGGACACUGGGGAGGUUCUCCCUGAUCUGCAACUCAUGAGACUCACACUAAAUAGUGACAUUUUCCCGAGGUGCUGAAUUGCUGGUGAAGGUGUUCAGUGAGGGAUGCUCCACGGAAUGAGUGUAGAGUGUCCAGCCUUUCCUCAACACAGGAGGGAACAGAUGGGUGUGUAUAUACUACAGACCUGAGAGCUGUCUUCCGCGUAUGACUUCAGCUUCUCUAGUGAGAAGCCUUCUGCAGAGUGACUUCAGGGCUACCCACACGUGGCUGUGGUCUGUCUGAAAUACCCCCAUGUGGUGAGGAGAGCUGUCCUGGCCAUGGCAGUGCCCCUAACAAGUCUGCUGAAAGGUACCUGUGUGGGAUGGGAUUGAGGUCACCCAGGGCAGCAUGAAGCACAGAAUGAUGGACAGAUGUCACAAUGCAGAGUGACAGCCUGUGGGGGGUCACACCAGCAAGAGAAACAAACUGCCCAGAUGUGGGUGGUUGAGCAAGGAGUGGAGAAGAGGAUUUCAUGUCCCCAUAACGUGUAGCUGUGCCCGAAAAAAAAAAAAAGGCACAGGUAUGUGCGGUGAGUGGGAAAGGAGACUGGUCCCUGAAGAAAGGGAGAGUGGCUGUUUGUGUACCUGCAGUCAUGAUACUUCCAUCAGUCUCCUUCAAAAGCCACCUUUGAGAGAAUUGACUUCUAGAUGCGUGGCAGUGGAACUUUACCAGGUGACUGUUUGCAUAAGUCAGGCUUCCCUAAUCUUGGAGCUAGCUGUGCAUACCUUAUCCUGGAGCUUUCAGUUUCCUGAAAAAUCAGAAAAUCCGCUUGCUUAUCAGCUCUAUGCAGUGUUUUGAAAGUGAUUGCACCGAGACCUCCUGCACACCGCACUGUGUAUGUGUGCAGUAGCCAUGUUAGCGCUUCGUGCUCACUGUUGUUGAGGUGACAAGUUUAUUUAGUGCAGGACUUCUAGCCUUGCAUGUUUCUUUGCCUCGUAGGAGGAGGUAUUUGACAUCAUCUGCGUGGAAUACGGUUGCUGAGAUUUGGCUCCGAGCUCCACCUUUCCUGGGUGUCCAUCACUGCCCAAGCACUGGGCAAACUGGAGCUGACAACCUGCCUUGCAGCUUCUAAUAAAAAUAAAUCUUUUUGUAUUAUUUUAAAACUGACUUCAAUAUGAGUAGAUGAAGAGGCUAUGAAAAUUCUUUGCCAAUAUCAGUGAAGAUUAGAUCCAAGAAAUAAUGUCUGCCUGUGAUAGGAAAUUCAUUAUUUCCCUUGCCCAUCAAAUACAGUUGUUGGCAACCUUCUGCCUUAAGUACACGAAGAUGAAGACAUCAAUAAUCCUGCAAAUUUGCGAGUGAAACCCAAUCUUUGCACGGCCCCCCCCAGCGUAUUGCUUCCUUUCACAUCCACGAUGUCUGCUCUGUCUGAACACCUUUGAAGAGCCGCAGGAGUUUAACUUCACUAUUAUAUUUCUGGCAUUUAAAGCCAAUGCUGACUCUGUUGAUUGGGCUUUGAUGCACCUGUCACUCAACAAAACACAGCUGAAAUGCAUGGAUGGAUACAGGUCCAUUUCUUUGUACCACCAAACUCGUCCUAGGCGUAUUAUUAAUAGUAUGAUCAAACCCCAACGGUAAUUAAAAGGUAUCUUCAAAAGUAUGUGGGGUUCCUCUGCAUAGAUUCUGCUGUAAGCGCCAACCUUGGCCUGCAUUGUGUUAGCAGAGCUUGUCCCUAGUGAGCUGUGUUUGUCCUGACUUCAGGUACAUCCAUCAGCUGUUACUUGAGCAACCAUUAGCUACUGUAUGGCGUGAACAAUCAAUGCCAAAAUAAACUUACUUGAGAUAUAAUCAUUGUUUUAAUCAUUUGAAGGGGCUGUAGGUUUUUCUGGACUUACCUAGAGCUGUAAAAUAGAGGAAGCUCUGGUUGUCCUUGUUCUGGAGUUUGCUGGAAGAAGUUCUACCACAAAGCUUUAGUCCUUCAACACUUUCCAGUCUUUCAAUAGCUUUUUUUUUUUAAAGGUUUCUUGGUAGAAAGUAAAGAAAAAAGGAGAAAAGAUCUAUGGAGGUUUGCUUCGGUCUAGUAAUCUUAGCCACACUGUCUUUUCUCUUCCUUCGCUAGAAAUGACACGAAUAGACAACAGGAGUCUAGAAAUGACACAAAUGGACAACAACAACAAAAAAGGGGGCCCGGAGCCUGGGCCAUGUCAGCAGGAUGGGUGUGCAGGAUGGCAGCAGGGGCUGGCACCAGUUUCGUUAGUGCAGUGACAACCGUAGGUUUGUGUAAAUAAUGUCAGGACAUGUAGCUACACUAAGGUACCAUACAACUGUGGAUGUGUGGUAACGGCUCAUCUGCUUGUUAAGUUUCUCCAGUGUGAACAAGUAAAAUUAUUAACCAGGUUAAUUAAAAUUAUGCCUUGUACAACUUUGUGUAACGUGUUUUGCAAUAUGGACUCGGUGCCUAUCUAUGCUACCUGGGCUAUGCAGGUGCCAUAGAUCACAUUGGAUCGGAAAUAUUUAAGGAAAGACAAAUCAGGAGGUUACGCUUUUGUCAGGAAAACACAUUUUUGCUUGCUGCACCUCCUGGGGCCUGCGUGUCUGUUUACAUAAAUUCAUAAUGCAGUGAUUUAACAAACUGAGCCUACCACCUGAAUUCUAUCUCCACUUUUUACAUGAUUUUUUUCUUUCAGUAUCGUGUGGGGACUAUCAUCAUUCUUUGUCUGGGAAGGUCUGCAGGCUUUAUACAGGGUCAAAGAUAAAAUAGGAAACAGGUUCAGCUGGAUCAGAAACAGCUUGCUUCUUUUUAUUUUAAGGAGUGUUUGGAUAUACCUUGAGAUUUUCAAUGCUAGUUGUUAUGAUGGGAUCCUGGUGCCUUCAAACACACCUAAACAUUCAGCAUCACCACCAUUUCGUUUGUAAUGCAAUAAAAGACGUCAUGUUUAAUUUUAUUUAUGGGCUCAAUAUUCAAGUUUUUCACAUGUAAUUUUUCCCGUGUGGACAUUUAGAUAUGUUAGAAACAUCAUUAUCUUCUGAUAUUAGGAGUAACAUGUUAAUAAGAAGAUUAGCAUCUCACUGAUGGACAAAAAUACUGUUUGAGCACUAUGCCAAGGCACGCACAUCCAAAAUGGGCCACAAAGCAAAGAGUACAGGCUGUGGAUGACUGGAACAUUGUAAUACUUUGUGCACUACCAAAUGCAAUACUCUCGCCUGUUUUAAUAUUAAAAUAUCAUUUCAAAUGUGCAUUAUUAAGAGUCUCUGCCUGUUAAUAGGCUUCCCCACUAAUAGGUGGUCAAAGGACUUCUUGACUUCAGCCUCUGCUGGAAGCAGGAGACAUCUGUGUCUUAGGCAAUCCUUUUGCACACAUGUGAAUGAAAUAAACUUGUCUGAUACUUAUUCUGUGUUUUUUUG